rnacentral:rRNA from 1 species
GUCCACGCUGGCGGCGUGCCUAAUACAUGCAAGUCGAACGAACUCUGGUAUUGAUUGGUGCUUGCAUCAUGAUUUACAUUUGAGUGAGUGGCGAACUGGUGAGUAACACGUGGGAAACCUGCCCAGAAGCGGGGGAUAACACCUGGAAACAGAUGCUAAUACCGCAUAACAACUUGGACCGCAUGGUCCGAGUUUGAAAGAUGGCUUCGGCUAUCACUUUUGGAUGGUCCCGCGGCGUAUUAGCUAGAUGGUGGGGUAACGGCUCACCAUGGCAAUGAUACGUAGCCGACCUGAGAGGGUAAUCGGCCACAUUGGGACUGAGACACGGCCCAAACUCCUACGGGAGGCAGCAGUAGGGAAUCUUCCACAAUGGACGAAAGUCUGAUGGAGCAACGCCGCGUGAGUGAAGAAGGGUUUCGGCUCGUAAAACUCUGUUGUUAAAGAAGAACAUAUCUGAGAGUAACUGUUCAGGUAUUGACGGUAUUUAACCAGAAAGCCACGGCUAACUACGUGCCAGCAGCCGCGGUAAUACGUAGGUGGCAAGCGUUGUCCGGAUUUAUUGGGCGUAAAGCGAGCGCAGGCGGUUUUUUAAGUCUGAUGUGAAAGCCUUCGGCUCAACCGAAGAAGUGCAUCGGAAACUGGGAAACUUGAGUGCAGAAGAGGACAGUGGAACUCCAUGUGUAGCGGUGAAAUGCGUAGAUAUAUGGAAGAACACCAGUGGCGAAGGCGGCUGUCUGGUCUGUAACUGACGCUGAGGCUCGAAAGUAUGGGUAGCAAACAGGAUUAGAUACCCUGGUAGUCCAUACCGUAAACGAUGAAUGCUAAGUGUUGGAGGGUUUCCGCCCUUCAGUGCUGCAGCUAACGCAUUAAGCAUUCCGCCUGGGGAGUACGGCCGCAAGGCUGAAACUCAAAGGAAUUGACGGGGGCCCGCACAAGCGGUGGAGCAUGUGGUUUAAUUCGAAGCUACGCGAAGAACCUUACCAGGUCUUGACAUACUAUGCAAAUCUAAGAGAUUAGACGUUCCCUUCGGGGACAUGGAUACAGGUGGUGCAUGGUUGUCGUCAGCUCGUGUCGUGAGAUGUUGGGUUAAGUCCCGCAACGAGCGCAACCCUUAUUAUCAGUUGCCAGCAUUAAGUUGGGCACUCUGGUGAGACUGCCGGUGACAAACCGGAGGAAGGUGGGGAUGACGUCAAAUCAUCAUGCCCCUUAUGACCUGGGCUACACACGUGCUACAAUGGAUGGUACAACGAGUUGCGAACUCGCGAGAGUAAGCUAAUCUCUUAAAGCCAUUCUCAGUUCGGAUUGUAGGCUGCAACUCGCCUACAUGAAGUCGGAAUCGCUAGUAAUCGCGGAUCAGCAUGCCGCGGUGAAUACGUUCCCGGGCCUUGUACACACCGCCCGUCACACCAUGAGAGUUUGUAACACCCAAAGUCGGUGGGGUAACCUUUUAGGAACCAGCCGCCUAAGGUGGGACAGAUGAUUAGGGUGAAGUCGUAACAAGGUAGCCGUAGGAGAACCUGCGGUUGGAUCACCGAA